UAGGGAUACCCGCUGAACUUAAGCAUAUCAAUAAGCGGAGGAAAAGAAACCAACAGGGAUUGCCUCAGUAACGGCGAGUGAAGCGGCAACAGCUCAAAUA
rnacentral:rRNA from 1 species